CACGUAGGGGCCGAGCGUUGUCCGGAAUUACUGGGCGUAAAGGGCGCGCAGGCGGCCACGCACAUCACUGGUGAAAGCCCCGGGCUUAACCCGGGAGGGUCCCGUGCGAUGGCGUGGCUGGAGGCAGGGCGAGGCCGGUGGAAUUCCGGGUGUAGUGGUGAAAUGCGUAGAGAUCCGGAGGAACACCAGUGGCGAAGGCGGCCGGCUGGACCUGACCUGACGCUGAGGCGCGAAGGCGUGGGGAGCGAACGGG
rnacentral:rRNA from 1 species